AAUCAACGCUGGCGGCGUGCCUCAGACAUGCAAGUCGAACGAUUAAAGCUCCCUUCGGGGAGUGCAUAGAGUGGCGCACGGGUGAGUAACACGUAAGUAAUCUACCUUUGAGUGGGGAAUAACGUUCGGAAACGGACGCUAAUACCGCAUAAUGCAGCGGCAUCGCAAGAUGACAGUUGUUAAAGGAGCAAUCCGCUUAAAGAGGAGCUUGCGGCAGAUAGCUUGUUGGUAAGGUAACGGCUUACCAAGGCUACGAUCUGUAUCCGGUCUAAGAGGACGGUCGGACACACUGACACUGAAUAACGGGUCAGACUCCUACGGGAGGCAGCAGUCGGGAAUUUUGGGCAAUGGGCGAAAGCCUGACCCAGCAACGCCGCGUGAAGG
rnacentral:rRNA from 1 species